CAGCCGCCGCGGGAAUACGUAGGGUGCGAGCGUUAAUCGGAAUUACUGGGCGUAAAGCGUGCGCAGGCGGUUGUGUAAGACAGGUGUGAAAUCCCCGGGCUUAACCUGGGAACUGCGCUUGUGACUGCACAGCUAGAGUAUGGCAGAGGGGGGUGGAAUUCCACGUGUAGCAGUGAAAUGCGUAGAGAUGUGGAGGAACACCGAUGGCGAAGGCAGCCCCCUGGGCCAAUACUGACGCUCAUGCACGAAAGCGUGGGGAGCAAACAGGAUUAGAUACCCGUGUAGUCCCUGUCUCUUAUAU
rnacentral:rRNA from 1 species